AUUGAACGCUGGCGGCAGGCCUAACACAUGCAAGUCGAGCGGAUGAGAAGAGCUUGCUCUUCGAUUCAGCGGCGGACGGGUGAGUAAUGCCUAGGAAUCUGCCUGGUAGUGGGGGACAACGUUUCGAAAGGAACGCUAAUACCGCAUACGUCCUACGGGAGAAAGCAGGGGACCUUCGGGCCUUGCGCUAUCAGAUGAGCCUAGGUCGGAUUAGCUAGUUGGUGGGGUAAAGGCUCACCAAGGCGACGAUCCGUAACUGGUCUGAGAGGAUGAUCAGUCACACGGGAACUGAGACACGGUCCAGACUCCUACGGGAGGCAGCAGUGGGGAAUAUUGGACAAUGGGCGAAAGCCUGAUCCAGCCAUGCCGCGUGUGUGAAGAAGGUCUUCGGAUUGUAAAGCACUUUAAGUUGGGAGGAAGGGCAUUAACCUAAUACGUUAGUGUUUUGACGUUACCGACAGAAUAAGCACCGGCUAACUCUGUG
rnacentral:rRNA from 1 species